GAAAGGGCAAAUUUCUGUCAAAAUAAAAAAAAAAUUGUUAUACACAAAUUUGAAAUUGAAAAUGGCAGGCGAAGAUAAAUCAUAAAAAUGUAAGACAUGGACGGUGGUGGUUCGAUUUCAGUGCUGCCAGUUCUUAUGCAAAUUUGGAGAGUUUGUUCGAUUGGCUUGUCUAUAGCAGUUAGCCAAUCGAUGACAGCUAUUAUUAUUCUCAUCAAGCGGCUUUCAAAAUUAAGUGUUGCUAAUUACCUGACAACAGCUGUAUAUGUAUGUAUGUAUAUGUACACGUCUGUAAAUAAGCAUGCACUCGAAAACUAAAUGCACCGUCAUAAAGCGCAAACAGAGGAAUUAAAACAAAUAACACGCGCACAAAUGAUUAUCAAAAAAACACCGUUACAAUGUGUACUAAUAAAUUAACAGCGCUUAUGUACUCACCAAAUCGGCACCACACGCCCGCCGGCGCCCUCGACAAAUUUCACAUAUGACGCGGCUAUGUAGCUGGUGUAGUCCCUAUCGGGGUAAUGACGUAGCACAAAGUUGG